UAAACAUGAAAAUUAAAGUGAAGAAACCACAAGUUAAAUGAUCGAAUUGUCUCCGCCGUCUCUUCUAAGGCAGGAAUGGAAGGUCAAAGCGGAGAGACAGAGACACAAGUCAAAGUGUCAAACCGCUUUUAUCAGAUGAGAAACCAACUACCAAUCGCAGUUUGAAACGUGGCAGCAGGCAGGCAACAACAAAAUUUUCUUACGAAAAUCCCAACCAAUCACAACCCGAAAAGUGGGAGAGUUACGAGAGUAGAGAGCAAAUCCGUCCGUAUGAUUCAAAUACCAGAAUGAACAGUACACGCUGAUCGCCUGAUCCGCAGAGCCGGUUUCGCAUUUCCCCACCCCUCGCGGGCUCAUCAUCUUCGUAGCCCGCACCACCCCAGUCCAGAGUCAAGACACAGAGUUAAAACUCAUAGUAGCCAGCCACAGCCUUACAAUUGUAAUACGAUUUUUCUUUUUUUACUCUCACUUCAUUUAACCUUUUGCCUUUCCCUUUUUAUCUGCUAACGUGGGUGACAAAGCCAUCGAAUUUUCAGUCGGAAAAGAGACUCAAAUUUAGAUAAGUUUUGUAAAUAUUUGUUUUGCAUAUUACACCGUAGGUAUUGAUAUUCCAUUGAAUAUAGGAAGAAGAUGAAUGGAUUAAAGUAGCAUUUGAUAUGCUGAAAAAGAUAGAUCCAAUCCAUAGCUUAUAUGGUCAUAACGCGUAGGUUUCAGUUUCAGAAUGGAUUAUGCGCUCCAAAUAUAGACAACCUUCACGUGAUCAAUGUUACAAUUAAAAAUAUUUUUAAUAUAAAU
rnacentral:lncRNA from 1 species